rnacentral:rRNA from 1 species
UACAGAGGAUGCAAGCGUUAUCCGGAAUGAUUGGGCGUAAAGCGUCUGUAGGUGGCUUUUUAAGUCCGCCGUCAAAUCCCAGGGCUCAACUCUGGACAGGCGGUGGAAACUACCAAGCUGGAGUACGGUAGGGGCAGAGGGAAUUUCCGGUGGAGCGGUGAAAUGCGUAGAGAUCCGGAAGAACACCAGUGGCGAAGGCGGCCCGCUGGGCAGUGGCUGACGCUGAGGCGCGACAGCGUGGGGAGCAAACAGG